rnacentral:rRNA from 1 species
GGGUUGUGAGGUUAAGCGACUAAGCGUACACGGUGGAUGCCCUGGCAGUCAGAGGCGAUGAAGGGCGUGCUAAUCUGCGAUAAGCGCCGGUAAGGUGAUAUGAACCGUUAUAACCGGCGAUACCCGAAUGGGGAAAC